UCCCUGGCAGUCUAGUGGUUAGGACUUGGCACUUUCACUGCCAUGACCCUUGGUUCAAUUCCUGGCCAGGGAA